rnacentral:misc_RNA from 1 species
AACGCACCUUGCGCCCCGUGGUUUUCCACGGAGCACGCCUGUUCGAGUGUCACGUUAAACCCUCGCACCGGGUCGAUGUCAAAGUCGACUCGGGAGCGGAUUUGGACGUUGCCGGCUCCGUGCCGGCUCGUCUCGAAAUGCAUUAGCUGGAGUCGUCGCCCGACGUGCGGUGUUGAUAAUUGUCUACGCCGAAAGCGUGAGCUUCGCUCUGCUCAGAGUCUCGCCCUUCGAAUGGCGAAAUCUUACUCAAAGUUUGACCUCGAAUCAGGUGGGACUACCCGCUGAACUUAA